rnacentral:rRNA from 1 species
GCCCAAAGUGGGUGGUUAACUCCAUCCAAGGCUUAAUACAAGCACGAGUCCGAUAGCGAACAAGUACCGUGAGGCAAAGUUGAAAAGUACUUUCAAGAGAGAGUAAACAGUCCGUGAAACCGCUCAGAGGUAAACGGGUGGAGUUGAACUGCAAGCUUUCAGGAUUCAGCUGGUGUACAUUGUUUGGGCUUGGUCAUAUUGGUUGUUGUCUGGGGUCUGCGAAGCAGCAGGUCACUGCCUUCGGGUGGGGAUGUGCGAGACACUUAUCAAGUGUUGUGCGCCCUGGAGCAAUCGAGCCAGUUCGUGAGUGCACUUUCUCAGAGUGGUCACGACGACCGGCAUUGCUGUCUGACUGUUGUGGUUAAACCGGUCUUGCUUUGGCCUCGUGUCUUUGCUUGGUCGGGAUGGCAGGUAGCCCGUUGGCUUGUCUGUGGUUCGGUGCAGGCGUUUGGCUUUCGGGUGUAAUCAGCUGACUAUGACGGUUCUGUGCGGUGUGUCGCAGACGGCGGCUUGUGGUGCGCGCAUGUGUUGCCUUGUGUCGGCGGGUCUGAGUCUGGUCGCUAUGUAGCUUGUUCAAGCAGGCCUGGUGAUGGCUCCGAUUCGUUCGGUGUUUGGUGGCGUGUGUCGUGCUGAUACCAGGGCCAAUAGUCUGUGGUGUAGUGGUAGAUUAUCCACCUGACCCGUCUUGAAACA